rnacentral:rRNA from 1 species
UUAAUUGAAGAGUUUGAUCAUGGCUCAGAUUGAACGCUGGCGGCAGGCUUAACACAUGCAAGUCGAGCGGUAGCACAGGGGAGCUUGCUCCCUGGGUGACGAGCGGCGGACGGGUGAGUAAUGUCUGGGAAACUGCCUGAUGGAGGGGGAUAAC